rnacentral:rRNA from 1 species
GACGAACGCUGGCGGCGUGCUUAACACAUGCAAGUCGAACGGAAAGGCCCUGCUUUUGUGGGGUGCUCGAGUGGCGAACGGGUGAAUAACACGUGAGUAACCUGCCCUUGACUUUGGGAUAACUUCAGGAAACUGGGGCUAAUACCGGAUAGGAGCUCCUGCUGCAUGGUGGGGGUUGGAAAGUUUCGGCGGUUGGGGAUGGACUCGCGGCUUAUCAGCUUGUUGGUGGGGUAGUGGCUUACCAAGGCUUUGACGGGUAGCCGGCCUGAGAGGGUGACCGGCCACAUUGGGACUGAGAUACGGCCCAGACUCCUACGGGAGGCAGCAGUGGGGAAUAUUGCACAAUGGGCGGAAGCCUGAUGCAGCAACGCCGCGUGCGGAAUGACGGCCUUCGGGUUGUAAACCGCUUUCGCCUGUGACGAAGCGUGAGUGACGGUAAUGGGUAAAGAAGCACCGGCUAACUACGUG